rnacentral:pre_miRNA from 1 species
CGCGUCGGUGCCGUGUUCUGUGACUGACUGGGCUGGCGGGUGUCCGCCGGUCUGCCACAGAACACGGGACCGGCCGCAA